CUAAAAAUCAUGGCCUAUGAUGGAACCAUUCAAGAAAGAUGCUUUAAACCAAACAUACAGAAGAGUUUCCUAGUGGUAUGAUUUGGUGAUAGGCAUCCACAGAUUGAGCAAGUGACAAAAUUACCUUCAGGGGCCUUUUUCUAUGGAAGGUCCUUCCCCUUGGAAAGAAUAACAGUUUCAUGAGAAAGGCCCAGAGGAGUUGACUCUUUCUGUAUGGUGAAAUGAAGUGCACACAAGUAUGGAUCAUGUAGGAUCCACAGAGUCAGUCUGUGAAUGAGAUGGGCUUUAUCUAAAUUUGACAAAUAAAUAAACAAACAAAUCUA